CGGUAUUGUUUGACUGAAGGAUUGAAAUGCAUGGUAACUUACCAUUGAAAAAUAUUUUUGAUAUUUUCAUCAAAUUUUAUCUCUUUUGAAUAGUCAUGACAUAUUGCUAGAUGUCAAUCUUGACUUAUGAACUCACAAGAACUAAAAAAAAUUAAUUUAAGAAUUAAUUAGAAAGAGUUUUAGUUAAUUGGUUCAAUUGGGCUGACUUAGUCUAAUCAGAUUAGAGUUAGGUCAAGAGCCUGAGUCC
rnacentral:lncRNA from 1 species